UUCCGUAGGUGAACCAGCGGAGGGAUCAUUACUGAGUUACCGCUCUAUAACCCUAUGUGAACAUACCUUCAACUGUUGCUUCGGCGGGUAGGCCGUUCCCCUGAAAAGGACGCCUCCCGGCCGCCGGCCCGGAACCCCCGCUCGCGGGGGGCCCGGCAGCGGGGCGCCCGCCGGAGGAUAACCAAACUCUGAUUUAACGACGUUUCUUCUGAGUGACACAAGCAAAAUAAUCAAAACUUUUAACAACGGAUCUCUUGGUUCUGGCAUCGAUGAAGAACGCAGCGAAAUGCGAUAAGUAAUGUGAAUUGCAGAAUUCAGUGAAUCAUCGAAUCUUUGAACGCACAUUGCGCCCGCCAGCAUUCUGGCGGGCAUGCCUGUCCGAGCGUCAUUUCAACCCUCAAGCACCGCUUGGCGUUGGGGCCCUACGGCUUCCCCGUAGGCCCUCAAAGGUAGUGGCGGACCCUCCCGGAGCCUCCUUCGCGUAGUAACAUUCUCGUCUCGCACUGGGAUCCGGAGGGACUCUGGCCGUUAAACCCCCCAAAUCUAUAAGGUUGACCUCGGAUCAGGUAGGAAUACCCGCUGAACUUAAGCAUAUCAAUAAGCGGGAGGA
rnacentral:rRNA from 1 species